rfam:Dipodomys ordii contig_42270, whole genome shotgun sequence.
GGGAAUGUGGCUGAGUGGUAGAGCGCUUGCCUAGCAUGCAUGAAACCUGGGUUCAAUUCCUCAGAACCA